rnacentral:rRNA from 1 species
UACGUAGGGGGGCUAGCGUUGUCCGGAAUCAUUGGGCGUAAAGCGCGUGUAGGCGGUCCGGUAAGUCCGCUGUGAAAGUCGGGGGGCUCAACCCUCGAAUGCCGGUGGAUACUGUCGGGCUAGAGUGCGGAAGAGGCGAGUGGAAUUCCUGGUGUAGCGGUGAAAUGCGCAGAUAUCAGGAAGAACACCUAUGGCGAAGGCAGCUCUCUGGGGACGGUACUGACGCUGAGACGCGAAAGCGUGGGGAGCGAACAGG